rnacentral:lncRNA from 1 species
UCAUAUACAUUUCAAUUAUUAUUAAAAUAACUAUGGUGGAAAAUAUGAUGAAACAGAAUUAUUUCCAAGUAUAAUACCAUUUUUGUUUGUUGGAGGACAUGAACAAAAGCCAUUUAGUACUCCAAAAAUUAAUCUUACUAUAUGAAGUAAAAUGUCAGUUAACUGCCAUGAUAGGGUAUUCUUUUGUUUAAUAGAUUAUAAAAGACAAUUGCCGUUGAAAAGAUAGUUUGUUAUAGUUUCCAAGAAGAGGAGACAUGCCAUGCCAUGCAGGGCCAUGUGGGGAUGCAUGAGGGUAGGUCAGGAUGCAGAAGAAAUGAGGGGAAAGCAUGGUCCAGAACCUUUACUGUGGUUUUCAAGGGAAGGAAUGAGAAAGGGAAGCUAAGUAGCUGAGCAAGUUUAGGACUGGAUAGUUUAAUUUCUGCAGGCAGUGACAUGUAGGGGUGGUUCCUAAUUGUCUGGUACCUGGUCCUGGGGUGAUUUAGCCCUGGGAGAUAGUGUGCCAGACUGCAGGAGCCUCAUAAAAGAUGUCAAAAUAGGAGUUCCCAUUGUGGCUCAGUGGCUAACAAAUCCUACUAGGAAUGAUGAGGUUGUGGGUUUGAUCCCUGGCCUUACUCAGUGGGUUAAGGAUUCGGUGUUGCCAUGAGCUGUGGUGUAGCCACAGCAAUGCUCGGUCCAAACUGCAUCUGUGACCUACACCACAGACCACCACAAUCCUGGAUCCUCAACCCACUGAGAAAGGCCAGGGAUCGAACCCGCAACUCCAUGGUUCCUAGUCGGAUUCAUUUCCACUGCACCACAACAGGAACUCCGUUCUUUCAUUUUUGUUAGUGUGCAAUUUUUAUUUUAUAAGUAUAUUACAAUUUACCUCUUGGUGAAUGACAUUCGUAUUUCCAUUUUGGGGCUAUUACAAAUAGUGGUUCUAUGAACAUUCUUGUUAAUUCUCUUUGGUACACAUAUAUAAGGAUAUCUAUGGGUAUAUACCUAGAAGUGGAAAUGCCAUCUCAAGGAGUACAGUGUAUAUGAUUUUAGUAAAGACUGUCAAAUAGUUAUAUAGAGAUUGUACCAUUUUAAGUUGUUGCCAGUAGUGCAUGAGCAUUCCUGUUUUCAUCAUCUCAUCAGAAUUUGAUAUUGUCACUCUUUUUAAUUUUAGCCAAUCUGAUGAGUAGGUUUUGAUAUCUCAUUUGUGCAUUUGAUUUGCAUUUCUCUGACUGCUAAUGAAAUUGAAUACAUUUUUAUAUCCUUGUAGGUUAUUUCUAUGUAUUCUUUUGUAAGUUCAUAGUUUUUUCUAUUGAGUUGUUUUUGUUGUUGUUUUUGGUUUUCUUUUGCUUUUUAGGGCUGUGCCCAUGGCAUAUGGAGAUUCCUAGGCUAGGGGUCGAAUUAGAGCUGUAGCUGCUGGCCUAUGCCACAGCCAUAGCCAUGUGGGCUCUGAGCUGAGUCUUCAACCUACACCACAGCUCACAGCAAUGCCGGAUCCUUAACCCACUGAGCGAGGCCAGGGAUCAAACCCACAACCUCAUCGUUACUAGUCAGAUUCAUUUCUGCUGCUCCACAAUGGGAACUCCGAGUUGUCUUUUAUUUUUAGGAAAAUUUAUUUGUAGUUGGUGCAGAUUCUUUGUUGAGUGGAUGCAUUGCCAAUAUCUUUUCUAUUUUUUUUUUUUUUUUUUUUUUUUUUUUUGUCUUUUUAGGGCUGCACCUGAGGCAUAUGGAAGUUCCCAGGCUAGGGGUCGAAUCAGAACUGUAGCUGCCACCCUACACUACAGCCACAGCAACAUGGGAUCCGAGGCACGUCUGUGACCUACACCACAUCUCAUGGCAACAUCAGAUCCUUAACUCACUCAGCAAGGCCAGGAAUCAAACCCACAUCCUCAUGGAUACUAGGCGGGUUUGUUAACCACUGAGCCAUGAUGGGAACCACUAUCUUAUCCAUUCUGUGACUUGCCUUUUCAGUUUUUCUUUUUCUUUUAUGGCCACCCUGCGGCAUAUGGAGUUCCUGGGCCAGGGAUCAUAUCUGAGCCAUAGUUGUGGCAAUGUUGGAUCAUUUAACCACUGUGCUAGGAGCAGGAACUCCACCUUUUCAUUUUUUUUAGUUGUGUCUUUUGAUGACCAGAAGUUAUUAAUUUCAAUAUGAUGUAAUUUAUCAAUCUUUUCUUUCGUAAUUAGCACAUUAUAUAGCCUGCUUAAGAUUUCUUUGCCUGCUCCAAGUUCAUAAGUCAUAAAGUUGUCUUCCAAGUUUAUCUUCUAGAAGCUUUAUUUUAAAAUUACAUUUAAUCGAAUAAUCCAUCUGGAAUAAAUUUUUACAUAUGGUUUGAGGUAAGUAUAAGAUUCAAUUUUCCUUAUAGAUGUGCAUUAUAAUUGUGCCUUUCUCAUAAAUUAAGUGGACAUACAUGUUCAAGUUAAUUUUUUUGUGCAAUUUUUAAAAUUUCCCUAAUACAUUAUUUUUUUUCCUACUAUGCAACGUGGUGACCCAGUUACACAUGCAUGUAUACAUUCUUUUUUCUCACAUAAUCAUGCUCCUUCAUAAGUGACUAGACAUAGUUCCCAGUCCUACACAGUAGGAUUUCAUUGCUAGUUUUAUAGAACUUAUUUAACAUAUAUUAUGUGUCAGGAAUUGUGUUUGGUACUAAUGAUAUAGAUACAAAUAAUAGAGAUUCUCUCUCCUGGAAAUGUCCUUGAGUGGGGAAGAUAAGUUAUAUGAUAAUGAAAAAUGCCUCUAUCAUAUUAACAACUACAUGUUGCAGGGUAAAGAAAUGAACUCCAUGAGGAAAUGAGGAAGAAUCUGCUAGAGGAGGCAACAUUUGAACUGGGUUUUCAAAAAUGAGUAGGAGUUUGAUGAAUCCAUUCUAUAUAAAGAGAAAAAUGUGUUAAAAGACACAGGUUUGUCAAAGGGUAGAUGUAUUCAUAAAAUGGAGAAAGGUUUGCCAUAGGAAGGAAGAGUGUGUGAGGAGAUGGAGAAGAAUCGAGGAGACAAGUGGACAGAGAUAGGACUAAAACAUUUUAGGCAGAAUGGACCACACUUGUAAAAUUCAGUAAAUAUAAAUGAACAUGGCAUAUUUAUCAAAUGGUGGGAAAUUCAGUAUGGCCAGAAGAUAGACUGUGUUUGCAUGGGGGAGAGAUGAGAAGGAGGAACAGAGGAGGGAUGAGGAGCAAAUGGAGAUGAGGAUGAGAUUAUGGUUGAGCUUAUCCCUAAGGAACCUGGGGAGAAGGGAGUGUUCAGCCAGGGAGUGGCAUAAUCAAAUUUGGUUUUUAGGAAUAUGACCCUUAGGAGUCUGGAGAAUAAAUUGGUAGGUGGAAGAUUGGUGGAAGGAAAUCUGUUAAAAUAAAUGCACCUUGGCCAUGGCAUGGCAGUGUGAUGGUGAGAUAGUAUCAGAUGUGGAAUUAGUCUGAUUAUAUUCAAGACAUCUUGGUGAACCAGGUAUGAAAGGCUGGUGUGAUAGAGGACUCCAAAAUUUAUAGUUUGAGGGAGUUCCUGUUGUGGCACAGUGGUUAACGAAUUCAACUAGGAACCAUAAGGUUGCGGGUUCGACCCCUGGACUUACUCAGUGGGUUAAGGAUCUGGCGUUGCCCUGAGCUGUGGUGUAGGCCAGCAGAUACAGCUCCAGUUAGACCCCCAGCCUGGGAACUUCCAUAUGUCAAGGGAAGUGGCCCUAGAAAAAGAAAAAAACCCAAAAAAUAUUAUAAUUUGAGAGGCUGAGUGAAUAACUAUUCACUAUGCUAUCAACUAAUAUAGCAAAUAUAAGGAGAAGGUAUAAGGAAAGAUAUGGUAUGAUAUUAUGUCAUAAUGGUAUGAUACAUUAAAAUGAGAUGCUGGUUAGUUAAGUAGUUGGAGUUACAUAGGAAGAAUUAAAAACGUGUGUAGAACUCAGAAGAGAGGUCAGGCUGUAAAAAUGUAUUUGAGAAUUAUCAAACAUAUGUGUUUAUUUUUUUAAUUAAUAAAUUUUAUUACAUUUAUAGGUGUACAGCAAUCGUCACAACCAAAUUUUACAGCGUUUCCAUCCCAAACCCUCAGUGUAUCCCUCCAUCCCCCCAACCUGUCCCAUUUGGAAACCAUAAGUUUUUCAAAGUCUGUGAGUCAGUAUCUGUUCUGCAAAGAAGUUCAUUGUGUCCUUUUUUUUAGGAGAAUCAUCAAAUAUAGAAGAUAGUUGAAAUCACAGGAAUUGGUGCAAUCAUCCAGGGAGAGUAGGUAGAGCAAGAGGAGAAGAAUCAAUCCAAAGUAACUUGAACACCUAAGAGAAUAGGAAAAUAAGCUUGUGAAGGUGAGAUUUUUCCUCUACCCCUGUCUAUGGUUUCUAAUUUUCCUACAUAACAUUAUUUCUUGUAUGAUAUAAGAUAACAACACUGCUAUAAUACAUAAAAGCAUAUGAUAAAAAGUAACACUCUCCCUGCCCGUCCAUUCCUCAAAACCAACAUAUGUUUAACUGUAUAUUUUAGUUGUUAAAAGUCUAAAUUUAAGUUUGAGUAAUAUGCUUGUUCCUCUGAAUUUUGAUUUACCUUCUUUGAUCAUGACUGUGUGCUAUGCACAAGUCUAAGAUUCUCACCUUGUGGCGUGCCCUAUAUAAUCUUCUCCCUUUGAGGGCUGUUAAAAUCUGUAAAUAUUGGAGUUCCCGUCGUGGCGCAGUGGUUGACGAAUCCGACUAGGAACCAUGAGGUUGCGGGUUCGGUCCCUGCCCUUGCUCAGUAGGUUAACGAUCCGGCGUUGCCGUGAGCUGUGGUGUAGGUUGCAGACGCGGCUCGGAUCCUGCGUUGCUGUGCCUCUGGCGUAGGCCGGUGGCUAUAGCUCCGAUUCAACCCCUAGCCUGGGAACCUCCAUAUGCCGCAGGAGCGGCCCAAGAAAUAGCAACAACAACAACAACAAAAGACAAAAAAAAAAAAAA